UACAGAGGGGGCUAGCGUUGUUCGGAAUUACUGGGCGUAAAGCGCACGUAGGCGGCUUUGCAAGUUAGAGGUGAAAGCCCGGGGCUCAACUCCGGAAUUGCCUUUAAAACUGCAUCGCUAGAAUUGUGGAGAGGUAAGUGGAAUUCCGAGUGUAGAGGUGAAAUUCGUAGAUAUUCGGAAGAACACCAGUGGCGAAGGCGACUUACUGGACACAUAUUGACGCUGAGGUGCGAAAGCGUGGGGAGCAAACAGG
rnacentral:rRNA from 1 species